CCGGUUACCGAGUCGUGCACCAAAUAAAGUAAAGGUCUGGCUCCUGCCGGGCGAGGUGGGCGGGCGAGCGGCGUGCCAGCCGGCUCCGGGGUGUGGCGAGCCCUCGGUUGCCCAGAAAAGAUGCAACGCGCGUCAGCAAGAGCCUUGGCUGCUGCCGCGAGGGUCCCUGACGCGCUGCUGGCUGUCCCGGGUGGAUUUUCUAAGUUGGGGAGGGCGCAUGACAAGAGCUGCCCCAGAUGUCACUCCCUUUUUGGAAAUCAUGAGGCUGCCUUUUUUUUUUUUUUUUUUUUUUUUUUUUUUUUAAACGACUGUGGCUAUAAUAAGGCAAACGGUCCACGCUGGUGGAGUAAACUCUCAUACUUAAGGGGCAUCCGUCUUCGGGGAAAGCACACCGAGGCACGGGUGCGUGUCCAUAAAAAUGUUAUUUAUUAAGCGAACCUCAGGACAUGCCCAUAUGGGUACUACAGAGUCAAAUAAAGUAUUGCAGGCACCGACUGCCUAAAAGGGAGUUGCCUUUUUACAGAGAGACCUUUAUUAAAAUUACGGCAACGGCCAAAAAGUUUUUUCUUGCGUCAUGGCACCGUUGGGCGCUGGAGGUGCCCCGCAAUCCAUGGACUUCUAAUUUCCGUUCAUUGUUAGGUUCAAUACUCCGCAGUAACGUCUCAAAAAAAAUCCAAGAAGCAUGACCCCAUCCUUGCACAAGAUGACGCUAAAAUGGCAUGUAGUACCAGCCUUGGAGUGCGGGCCGAGGAACUUCACUGUGGACUGAGGGUUGUGUAAUAGUUUCAGGCACGAAAUCAUUUUAGAAGCGUGGGAUGAAUUCCUACAGAACUGUCCCCUCCUUCUGUAUUUUAUCGAAGAACUCGCAAGGCUUCUCAGGUUGCAGCUCGAUUCCUACGAAGCUAUUUUUGCUCUUUGUCCGAGCCCAUUGGUCUUGACACAGCAUCGCUAGAGUCACCCGCUCCGCUCCUGGACAAAAGACCUUUGAGAGCGAAUUCUGCAGAGAGAGUCUCUCUGAAAACACACCUCAGAAUUGUCCAGUUCUGUCCCAGACACACGACAACACUGGAACAGAGGUCAGGACGUCUCCAGGUGUUCCUGGGCUUUGGGUGAUCAUUUCAGAGAGGCUGGGGAGGACAGCCACAGGUUAAUGAACGCAAAAGAGUGAAAAGCCCCUGGUGAAACUGAUCUGACAAGAGCUUUCUUCUCUGAGCAAGGAUGAUGCUAUCUUUUGUCCCUUCAUAUACGAAGGGUCUUUUUUUGUGCCAGAGCCUGUCCGAGGCCCUUAAGGUCUAGAGAGAGAAGACCUCCAUUAUCUCAAGGGUCACAGUUAUUUUGGUAUUGGAUAAGAGCUCUUAUUGACAAAUACGAACAAGGCUGACAUGUGCUUAAAUACCAUCGCAGGUAAGAAAAUGAAAAACGAAAAAACUAGCAACGUAUUUCUUUCCUGCAUCCGUGCGCAGGCCCAACUUAACCCCACUUUCAGAGACGCCCUUAUGGGAUGCAAACCUAACUACUGUUCCCCCUUCAAACCCGCUUCUCUCUGGGACAGGACCUGAGCUCCUUGGUGUAGCAUUUGGGGGUCUUAGCCACCGCAUAUCUCUUUAGCCUUUAGCCACCUCUACCCCUCCCACUUCAAACCCAAACUUCCUGUCAUGUCCUGGACCCCAGGAGGGUAGGUCCAUAAAUAGCAGGACCCAGAACACGGUGAAACAGCAGGCCCUUGUUCAAAGCAAAAAUUCAAGGAUAAGAUUAAAAAUUUCAAGGGGCGCCUGGGUGGCUCAGUCGGUUAAGCGUCCAACUUCA